rnacentral:rRNA from 1 species
GACCGUCGUGAGACAGGUUAGUUUUACCCUACUGAUGGAGUGUUACCGUAACAGUAAUUGAGGGUAGUACGAGAGGAACUGCUCAUUCAGAUAAUUGGUAUUUGCGCCUGUCCGAUCGGGCAAUGGCGCGAAGCUAUCAACUGCUAGAUUAUGGCUGAACGCCUCUAAGUCAGAAUCUGUACUGGAAACGGUGAUGUUGGUCCCGCACAUGUUAGAUGUGUUUAAAUAGAGCUUCGGCUUGUGAACCAUAAAUGUUGGCUUAGUAGUUUGGACGGAAAGGUCCUUGUUACUCGCUGAUGAAUUGAAAUUGAGAUAUGGGCGGGGGUGAAUCCUUUGUAGACGACUUAAUGGGAACGGGGUGCUGUAAGCAGUAGAGUAGCCUUGUUGCUACGAUCUGCUGAGGCUAAGCCCU